rnacentral:rRNA from 1 species
UACGUAGGUGGCGAGCGUUGUCCGGAUUUACUGGGCGUAAAGAGCGCGCAGGCGGUCGUGCAAGUCGCGUGUGAAAGCCCCCGGCUCAACUGGGGAGGGUCAUUCGAUACUGAUCGACUCGAAGGCAGGAGAGGGAAGUGGAAUUCCCGGUGUAGUGGUGAAAUGCGUAGAUAUCGGGAGGAACACCAGUGGCGAAGGCGACUUCCUGGCCUGUUCUUGACGCUGAGGCGCGAAAGCUAGGGGAGCAAACGGGG